rnacentral:lncRNA from 13 species
CCCAGUGCCUGUAAAUGUGACCUUAUGCUUACGUGGAAAUAGGAUAGGAUUUUUACAGAUGUCAUCAAGUUAAGAUGAGGUCAUAAUGCAUUGGAAUGGGCUUUAAUUCAGUGACUACUGAACUUUUUUUUUUGAGGUAGAGUCUUGUUUUGUCAUUCAAACUGGAGUGCAGUGGCUCAAUCUUGGCUCAUUGCAACCUCUCUGCCUCCUGGGUUCAAGUGAUCCUUUCACCUCAGUCUUCUGAGUAGCUGGGGUUACAGGCAUGCACCACCUAGCCCAAUGACUAAUGUUCUUAUAAGAAGAGGGAAAUUUGAACAAAAAAAGGAGGACAAGUGAAGACGAGACACACCUGGGAGAAUUUCACAUGAAGAUGGAGAUUCAGUGGUGCGUCCUCAAGCCAGAGAAUAUCAAGGAUUGCUGGCAACCAGCAGGAACUGAGAGCCGUGAAACACAUUCUUCCCCAGAGUCUCAGGAGAGGGCACCGCCCUGUCGACAUCGUGGUUUUGGACUCCAGCCCUUCAGAACUAAACCUCUUGGAGUCAUAGAAUGCAUCACUUGAUCUUGAAGAGACCUUGGAGUUUAUGGAGUUCUGCCUCCCACGAAGCUCAGAAACAUCCUCUGCUGAACCUUUGGCAGGUGGUCCUUCAGGCUGUCUGCUUAAUGGACCCUAUUCGCAGGAUGCUCUUCCAGGACAAAAACUUCCUUGAGUCAGUUCAAAAUUAGGUUAUUAAACACCAUUAAUAAGAUAAAAAAAAAUGGGUGCAAUUAAUCAUUCAUCUGUUCAUUCACUCACUUUUCCACCUGGUUCCAAAAGAGAUUUAAUGUGCUUUAUGCUGGAAGUGGUAAAGGAUGGUGAGCUUUGGAGUCAGCCAGACCUGGGCUUGAUUCCUGACUCACAAACUUGUUUCAUGACAUUAAGCUAGUUGGUUAUAUUUCUAAGCCAAAUUUUUCUCGUCUAUUAAUGGAGAUUUUAAUAACACUACCUACUUUAUUGAGUGAUUGUGAGGAUUGCAUGCAUGUUGGGAAAUUAGUAAAUAAUUCAUGUUAAUCACUAUUAUAAUUUAAUAGUUACUGUAGCAGGAAGAAAAAAUGCCAGACCUUAACAACAUGUAGCAUCUGCAUGCGGUG